CCAGUGGCUCAGUUGGUUGAGCAUCUGACUUUGGCUCAGGUCAUGACCUCACAGUUUGUGGGUUUGAGCCCCACAUUGGG
rnacentral:tRNA from 1 species